GAUGAACGCUGGCGGCGUGCUUAACACAUGCAAGUCGAACGGAAAGGCUCCUGCUUGCAGGGGUACUCGAGUGGCGAACGGGUGAGUAACACGUGGGUGAUCUGCCCUGCACUUCGGGAUAAGCCUGGGAAACUGGGUCUAAUACCGGAUAGGACGAUGGUUUGGAUGCCAUUGUGGAAAGUUUUUCGGUGUGGGAUGAGCUCGCGGCCUAUCAGCUUGUUGGUGGGGUAAUGGCCUACCAAGGCGUCGACGGGUAGCCGGCCUGAGAGGGGGUACGGCCAACAUUGGGCAUGAGGAAGGGCCCAGAACCAAAGGGGGGGAAGGGGGGGGAAAAUGUGAAAAAGGGGGGAAAGCGUGAGGAAGGGAGGCGGGGGGGGGGAAGACGGCCUUGGGGUUGAAAACACCUUUCGCUAGGAAGGAAGGGCAAGGAGGGGAACCGGGAAAAAAAGAACCGGCUAAUUAGUU
rnacentral:rRNA from 1 species